GACCCCGCACAAGCGGUGGAUCAUGUUGUUUAAUUCGACGAUACGCGAAGAACCUUACCAGGUCUUGACAUCCCCUGCAAGAGCUUAGAGAUAAGCUUGAGGUUAUCAGGGUGACAGGUGGUGCAUGGUUGUCGUCAGCUCGUGUCGUGAGAUGUUGGGUUAAGUCCCGUAACGAGCGCAACCCUUGUCGUUAGUUGCCAGCAUUAAGUUGGGGACUCUAACGAGACUGCCAGUGAUAAACUGGAGGAAGGUGGGGAUGACGUCAAAUCAUCAUGCCCCUUAUGACCUGGGCUACAAACGUGAUACAAUGGCUGGAACAAAGGGAAGCGAAAGGGUGACCUGGAGCAAAACUCAUAAAGACAGUCUCAGUUCGGAUUGAAGUCUGCAACUCGACUUCAUGAAGCCGGAAUCGCUAGUAAUCGUGGAUCAGAACGCCACGGUGAAUACGUUCUCGGGGUUU
rnacentral:rRNA from 1 species